rnacentral:lncRNA from 10 species
UGUGAGAUUCCUAUCUCUAAGAUCUUAAUUGACUUUCCCACUCCUAUAUUUUAUGAUGUGUACCUUGAAUAUACUGAUGAAAAUCAACAUCAAUAUAUUUUGGCUGUGCCUGUGUUAAACCUAAAUCUUCAACAUAAUAAGAUAUUUGUGAACCAAGGUAAUUUGCAGGGGAAAGCCUUCCAAAUUUAUGAAAAGUUCAAUCAGAAGACAUUCAAGUCCAAGGCACGGUGGCUCACG